GUCCCCGUCGUCCAGGGGUCAGGACGCGGCCCUUUCAAGGCUGAAACGCGGGUUCGAAUCCCGCCGGGGACGCCA
rnacentral:tRNA from 1 species